CUCUCAUCGCGCGAUCCAGAACAAAGAACAGAAACACAAACCUGGAAGGGCAACCCGAAGGAGAGAAAAAAAGAGGAUACGAAAACACUGCAACCAACACCGCCAGACAAUCAGACCAAACCAGUGAUUUCAUCAAUUAAUCCAACGCGAGUGCACCCAAACAGAGGGGUAACCCACGGGCUGAAGCGCCCCGAGCUGUUGGGUUUUACUAUUAGAAUAACGAGGCUGGACCGAGGUCUUACUGGAGGACACGUACUGAGAGGCUGCGGCUAUCAAUGUAAUACUUGUUUUGAUAAUAAUAAGAUUAAUAAUAAUAAUAAGAGGAAUUGUCUUCAGUAUUAAUCGCAAUGAUGGCUCUGCUGCCCUCUGGUGGCCCGACUGAGGUACUGCGCUUCCAGCUGCCAGGCCACGGAGCCGCCACGCUGCGGAACACGAACCAGCUGCGUUCUGACCAGCGCUUCUGUGACAUCACCAUCGUCGCCAAUGACAACCUCAAGUUCCGGGGGCACAGGGUCAUCUUCGCUGCUUGCUCCCCGUUUCUCCGAGACCAGUUCCUGCUGAACCCCUCCUCUGAGCUGCAGGUGUCUUUCCUGCACAGCUCACGCAUCGUAGCUGACUUGCUGCUCUCCUGCUACACGGGGCUCCUGGAGUUCGGGGUGCGUGACAUUGUCAAUUACCUGACAGCGGCGAGUUACCUGCAGAUGGAGCAUGUGGUGGAGAAGUGCCGCGCUGCGCUCACGCAGUUCAUUGAGCCUCAGAUACACAGCCUGCAGGAGGGGGCUCCUGGGGCGAGCGCAGGGUCAAAGGGCAAGGCAGGGGUGGGAGGAGGUAACCCGGGCAACAGGAAAGGGGCGGGGCUGAUCAAGCAGCAGAAACACCCGAUGCAGGCGCUGUCCCACUCACACCAGUCAAACCAGACCCACCCCAACCAGUUCCAGCUCCUGCAGCACAUUCAUCAGCACGCCCGCUACCAGCACACUACUGGAGAGGCUGAGCAUCCAGGGGAACUGAAGGUCAAAGUGGAGGAAUUUCCUGAAGACUGCGGGGACGACUUUGAAGACGAGUACGAGGAGCUGUCUGACGUGUGCAUCGUGGAGGAUGGAGGGAGCAUGGGGGGAUGGAUGGGGAGGGAGAGAGAGAGGGAGGAGGGGGUGGAGGCCGAGGGAGGAGGCAGUGAAAUCCUAAACAAGGAGGAGGAAGAGGAGGAGAACAGAGAGACGCCGAUGACAAACGAAGCCCAGACGACGUCGACAACAGCCAGGAGCAGCGGCAGCCCCAAGACGAGGGGCAGGAAGCCGACGCCGUGGGAGUACAGGCGCCAGCAGCAGGGCACGCUGGGAAGGGAAGGGACGCCCAUCCAGGAAGGAGACGGGGUUCACUCCACGGGAGAGGGGCUGGGAGGCGGAGGUGGGGAGGAGGAGGAGGGAGGAGGGGAGUCGACUCUGGGAGAGGAAAGGGAGGAAGAGGGGGGCUUCAAAGCCUACUACCAGCCCCUACAGGAGCAUCACCUUGGGGAAGGACACGGCCUGGCGGAGGUGGAGGAGGAGGGCUGUGUAGGUUUGGAGUGCCCGGAGGAUGUUGCCCGGAGAGUGGGAUCCACCUCUUCCAGCUGCGAGGGAACCUCCUUCUCCGUGGAAAUGGCCCAGAGGGAUUUCCUAGCCCCACAUUGCGGGCUGUUCCCACCCCAGCAGCAACAGCAGCAGCAGCAGCUCCCCAUCUCGCUGGGCUCUUCGGGAGUCAAAACCAUCAAGUGCAGCCGGUGUGAGGAGUUCUUCCAGAGCGUGGAGAGGCUGGUGACGCACAUGCGUGCCUCACACUGCGUGUUCAUGUGCCCGCGCUGCGGGAAGCAGUUCAACCACACCAGCAACCUGAACCGCCACAUGAACGUACACCGCGGCAUCAAGUCCCACGCCUGCCACGUGUGCGCCAAGAGCUUCACACAGAAGUCCACGCUGUACGACCACAUGAACCUGCACAGCGGCGAGCGGCCCUACCGCUGCUCCUACUGCCACGUGAGGUUCGCACACAAGCCAGCCAUCCGCCGCCACCUGAAGGAGCAACACGGCAAGACCACCGCCGAGAACUGCAUGGACGCCAACAGCGUGGCAGAGAUCAACGUGGUGGUACGCUGAGAGGAGUGGGGAGAGAGGAGAGGAGAGGGGAGGGGAGGAGAGAAGAGGGGGAAGGAGACUGAGGAAACAGGUUUUAAUCAGUGUAGUGGUGUGCAAGGAACCUGCUGUAGGUUAGUAACUAACUACAACAAACAGAAACACGUUGUAUGCAUGUGCAACCGAGCAUAUUGCUCAGCACAGGAUACUGUUCAGCAGACAUGUUUGCAGACGUCUGCAGUUUAAUUUGGGGGAGAAGGCGAUAGACAGGGAAAGAGUUUUUGCAUGGCGGUGUGAUGAGAGGGGGGGAAGGAGAGGGGGAUGGAAGAGGACAGAGGGGGAAAGAGACAACAAUGAAUAUCAGUUAGUGUAUUAUAAAGAUAAGAAAGGGUGUGAUGGAACUGCACAACAUUCCGCACACUCCAUUGACUUUUAUGACAUCAAACAGUGAGAUGGGUAGAGGGAGAGAUGGAGAAAGAAACUCUUAUUCACACCCACGCUGUAUGACCAUCUCUUAUUUUUUAAGGCGCUGACAGUGGUUGUAGUUUGUUUUAUAUACCACUCCAUGAUUCACUCUUCUGACUUGUAAACGUGCAACACAAUAAACAAGAUCGGACCUUCUCAAGGUGGUGGCUACAAGCAGACAACACAGUUCACCGACUACAAGUCAUUGAUACGCUGGGGUACAGUUGUUUCAGAGGGACAGGUCGUUGAUACGCUGGAGUACAGUUGUUUCAGAAGGACAGGUCAUUGAUACGCUGGGGUACAGUUGUUUCAGAGGGACAGGUCAUUGAUACGCUGGGUAGAGUUGUUUCAGGGGGACAGGUCAUUGAUACGCUGGGGUACAGUUGUUUCAGAGGGACAGGUCAUUGAUACGCUGGGGUACAGUUGUUUCAGAGGACAGGUCAUUGAUACGCUGGGUAGAGUUGUUUCAGGGGGACAGGUCAUUGAUACGCUGGGUACAGUUGUUUCAGAGGGACAGGUCAUUGAUACGCUGGGUAGAGUUGUUUCAGAGGGACAGGUCAUUGAUACGCUGGGGUACAGUUGUUUCAGAGGGACAGGUCAUUGAUACGCUGGGUAGAGUUGUUUCAGAGGGACAGGUCAUUGAUACGCUGGGGUAGAGUUGUUUCAGAAGGACAGGUCAUUGAUACGCUGGGGUACAGUUGUUUCAGAAGGACAGGUCAUUGAUACGCUGGGGUAGAGUUGUUUCAGAAGGACAGGUCAUUGAUACGCUGGGGUACAGUUGUUUCAGAGGGACAGGUCAUUGAUACGCUGGGUAGAGUUGUUUCAGAGGGACAGGUCAUUGAUACGCUGGGGUACAGUUGUUUCAGAGGGACAGGUCAUUGAUACGCUGGGGUACAGUUGUUUCAGAGGGACAGGUCAUUGAUACGCUGGGUAGAGUUGUUUCAGAGGGACAGGUCAUUGAUACGCUGGGGUAGAGUUGUUUCAGAAGGACAGGUCAUUGAUACGCUGGGGUACAGUUGUUUCAGAGGGACAGGUCAUUGAUACGCUGGGGUACAGUUGUUUCAGAGGGACAGGUCAUUGAUACGCUGGGGUACAGUUGUUUCAGAGGGACAGGUCAUUGAUACGCUGGGUAGAGUUGUUUCAGAAGGACAGGUCAUUGAUACGCUGGGGUACAGUUGUUUCAGAGGGACAGGUCAUUGAUACGCUGGGUAGAGUUGUUUCAGAAGGACAGGUCAUUGAUACGCUGGGGUACAGUUGUUUCAGAGGGACAGGUCAUUGAUACGCUGGGGUACAGUUGUUUCAGAGGGACAGGUCAUUGAUACGCUGGGGUACAGUUGUUUCAGAGGGACAGGUCAUUGAUUCACUGGGGACAGUUAGUUACUUGGUGUAAAGUUUAGACAUGAUUCUCAGAACUCUAUUGAGUUGACAGAGUUGAUUUAAAAAAAUGCUCUUAUUAGUGUCCCCCCUGCCUUACUUCCAUGAGAAUCCACUGUGAGUUGUGUUAAGUCUCAGCUUUAGAAUUAUGUUUUUUACUUGUGUAAAUAAGGUUUUUAACAAAUCUGCUUCAGAAGAAUAAAACAGAUUCUGUGUUUUUAUUAAAAAAAA